rnacentral:tRNA from 1 species
AAGGGAGACCUAAUUCGGGUAUAAGACGAAAAAAGAGUAGUCGAAACCAAGAAUCAAUCCCAAAAGGUCGGAACGAGGUAUGUGGCUUUCAAACUAGGUUCUGGGUUCACACAAGACCUGAAUCAGGAACAAGGGCUAUUAGCUCAGGUGGUUAGAGCGCACCCCUGAUAAGGGUGAGGUCCCUGGUUCGAGUCCAGGAUGGCCCACCUGCACAGGUGGCAAAAACAAAGAAGCGAGGAAUCAGCACCUUAUCUUAUCUAUAUAUAAGAGAGAAUGCUGGCUCUGAGUAAAGAGUUCAGAGGAACCUUGAAAACUGCAUAGAGCUAGGUGAAAAAGCCAAAAAAGAAGACCGCAA